rnacentral:lncRNA from 1 species
GGAGCCGUUCCCCGACGGGCAGCAGGGCGCUCGGCCUCCGCGUGUGGGCUGAGCGCGGCGACGCUGCUGCCCCGAAAUCCUCGUGGAUUUUGAGUCGUAUGGAACCUCAAGGUCUUUGUGACAAUGGAAACCAAAAAAUUAAUUGGUAAACCGCUUCAACCAGCAAGACCUGUUCGUCAUCUGACUUCUCCCCCAGGAGCAGUGUUCCCUUUCAACUUUCAAAAUGAAUAUCCAUGCAACACUCAGUGCAUACAAAGUGGAGUUAGCAGAUGUAAGACGAAUGGAAUGCAAGCCUUUUCUCAAGGUCUUAAUGAGCAACAGCAACAGCAGUCUCCAGUUAAAAAAGAGAGAAUUAAAUACAGCAGAGAUUUCCUGUUGAAGCUCUCAAGUGUUUCCAUCUGCAGAAAAAAACCAGACUUUCUGCCUGAUCAUCCCAUUGUACUGCAAAAACCAGAAAACAACCAAAGUUUUAAGUAGCAUUUUAAGAACAGAUGAAUUUAAGUUUGGACAUCUGCAAAUGAGGUGGAUCUAGCAACAAUAACUGUAAUGGACUGUGACAAUUCAAUUUAUUCUUAAUUUUGAUGGUUGGCUAUUUGACUUCUCUAAAAAUGAGAAAGAGCUAUUUUAAAAUAUAAAGAAUUUUCUAAUCAGUUUCAGCUUUGCAGGAGGUUUCCUGCAUAAAUUGGGAAGUAACACUGGAAAGUAGGAAUUUGGUUAGUGAAGUGGGAAGACUGUAUAUUUAUAAUUUGCAUACUACUUGCAAUUUUUUGUUUUUCAUCACUUGUAAUAAUGGAAUGGAAAUGUAAGCUGUAAAGACUCUCAAAUAUAAAAUAUUUGCUACAGUGUAUAUAUGGUACAUAAUUGCUUGUUGCUUUUAAAGUUGCUUCUGUUGUUCUGCUUCCCACUGAUUUCAUACCAGCUCAUGAAUGGAUCAUUACAGUCUCUCCAGAGGCUUAGAAUGAUUCAGAAUGUUCAAUGCAUAGUUCUCAAUAAACAGGAGGCAGAAUUUUUAAUGGGUAUUUCUUUUCAGAUAUAUGAUUGGUCUCUAGGUUUUUGAUAAUAAUAUGGUCUUAAAUUCAUAAUUACUAGCAGAGAUUGAUAAUUUGGAAACAAUGGUAGUGAAUGAAACUGAAGUCGAAAAACGGCUGCUACUUAUGUCACUAAUCAGACCAUAUGAAUAGCAGAAGUUGAGCAAUUUCAAAGUAAAACUGAUAUUUUUAUUUCCAAAGGAAUUUAGACAUUUGAAAAUAAUUGACAUACAUUAAGUUUUAAUUCUAUAAUUUCUUAUAUAUGGAUGAACAAUUUUUGGGUUUAAGCUUUUAAUUCCUAGAAAUUAUAUACAUUAAAUCUCCUGCAAUUUGUCACUCUGGAUGUUACUGUUAAAAAAAAAAAAAAAAAAGGGUUUCUUCCAGAAAAAUCUGCUGAUAUAUAGGUAAGUGUAAACUCUCCCUAAUUCUAUUUCUUAGAUCCCUAGGUCUAUUGGCAAAAAGUUUGUUUCACUGAAUUUUGAACUCCUAAACCAGUACUUUUUUUUCACUGUUUUUUGAGCUUGUUUCCUAGAUUCAAGCUUGUAUUCCAUGUUACAUUUCCCAUCUUGGUCUUUUAGUGACCUCUUUUUUUUAUUUUUUAUUUUUUAAUUUUUUUUUUUAUUUUACUACUUUGUUCUUUAGGAAAAUGGGGUUUUAAAUAGAAAAAAAUCUUCGUUAACUAUAAACUUAUUGUUUAGUUUAAGAUGAGAUAUUUAUACUUAGGUCCCAGUUUUUUCUUUUUUUUUCUUUUUUCUUUUUCUUUUUCUUUUUUUUUUUUUGGCCCUACUAGUUUCCUUUUCUACUAUAGGUUCCAGUAUAUAUGUGUAUGUGAAUACACACUCACACACAUUCACAUACAUACAACUCUCACAAACAUACACAAAAAUACAUGUAUAAUUUGUAUAAGAGCUGGCGUCAGAAUGACCAUAUAAUUAUAUUGGUUUGCUUUGUUAUUUGCCCAUUCUCAAGUCAUUCUAAUUCUUGUUUCAGAAUAUGAUAGAGCUUAUUCCAAUUUGGAAUCUGCAGAUCCCUUCCACUUGGUACUGUUACUGAAAACAGAACCCUUUUAACAAAUAAUACUACCAUGCUACUUUGGAAACUGCCUAGUACCCAAAAUAUUUGAUAUGCUUUUUGAGUUGGAUACUUAAAUACACCAACCAAAGCAAUGUUUUGAUUGGCUAUAAUUUGUAUUUUUGAAACCAUUUACAACAAACAUUCUCAAGAAGAGUUUGUAUGUCAAAAGUCAUUUAGGUUUUAAAGUCUUUUGAUCUUUUCUUACUAUAUACAAUCAGUCUGCAGAGACUGUUAUGUGUCUGUUUGCCUUUGUACAUAUAUAUAUAGCUUGUUUGAAUAAUCAUUGUGCAUCUCCAUUAAUGUUGUUCUUUGCUUUGUAUAUAAAUUAAAAGAGUUGACCCAGGUGUUGUUACACAGUGUCUGUCAUCCUUAGAGUUGACCAGAGGCACACAAAUAC